rnacentral:rRNA from 1 species
CAAUAGCGUAUAUUAAAGUUGUUGCAGUUAAAAAGCUCGUAGUUGGAUUUCUGGUUGAAGCGACCGGUCGGGCGUUGAUUCGUCUGCACUGGAGACGGUUUUGGCCAUCCUCUAGGAAAGUGCGUCUGGUAUUAAGUUAUCGGGCGUAUGAUCCUGGUCUUUUACUGUGAAAAAAUUAGAGUGUUUAAAGCAGGCCUUCGCCUUGAAUACAUUAGCAUGGAAUAAUAAGAUAGGACUUUGGUCUAUUUUGUUGGUUUGCAGACCGAAGUAAUGAUUAAUAGGGAUAGUUGGGGGUAUUUAUAUUCCGAUGUCAGAGGUGAAAUUCUUAGAUUUUCGGAAGAUAAACUUAUGCGAAAGCAUUUACCAAGGAUGUUUUCAUUAA